rnacentral:rRNA from 1 species
CCCCCACAAUGGGACUGAAACACGGCCCAUACUCCUACGGGAGGCAGCAGCAGGGAAUAUUGCACAAUAGGCGAAAGCCUGAUGCAGCGACGCCGCGUGAGUGAAGAAGGCCUUCGGGUCGUAAAGCUCUUUUGUAGGGGAAGAGGAAGGACGGUACCCUAAGAAGAAGCGUCGGCUAACUACGUGCCAGCAGCCGCGGUAAGACGUAGGACGCGAGCGUUAUCCGGAAUUACUGGGCGUAAAGGGCCAGCAGGCGGCUUGGUAAGUUGUGCGUGAAAGCCUCGUGCUCAACGCGAGGAAGCCGGACAAUACUGUCAAGCUAGAGGGCAUCAGAGGGGAGUGGAAUUCCCGGAGUAGCGGUAAAAUGCGCAGAUAUCGGGAGGAACACCGAUGGCGAAGGCAGCUCCCUGGGAUGCACCUGACGCUAAGAGGCGAAAGCUAGGGGAGCGAACAGGAUUAGAGACCCCUGGUAGUCCUAGCUGUAAACGCUGGGUGCUAGGUGUGGGACGUAGAAGUUCCGUGCCGGAGCAAACGCGAUAAGCACCCCGCCUGGGAAUUACGGUCGCAAGGCUAAAACUCAAACGAAUUGACGGGGCCCCGCACAAGCAGCGGAGCGUGUGGUUCAAUUCGAUGCUACACGAAGAACCUUACCUGGGUUUGACAUGUACGUGGUACGAAGGCGAAAGCCUAAGGACCCUUCGGGGAGCGUACACAGGUGCUGCAUGGCUGUCGUCAGCUCGUGCCGUGAGGUGUCGGGUUAAGUCCCGUAACGAGCGCAACCCUUGCCCUUAGUUACAAGUGUCUAAGGGGACUGCCGGCGGGAAGCCGGAGGAAGGUGGGGAUGACGUCAAGUCAGCAUGGCCCUUAUGUCCAGGGCUACACACACGCUACAAUGGUCAGUACAAAGGGUAGCGAAGUCGCGAGGCGGAGCGAAUCUCAACAAAGCUGAUCGUAGUUCGGAUUGCAGGCUGCAACCCGCCUGCAUGAAGCUGGAGUUGCUAGUAACCGCGCGUCAGCCAUAGUGCGGUGAAUACGUACCCGGGGCUUGUACACACCGCCCGUCACGUCAUGGGAGUCGGUAACGCCUGAAGCCGGUAGUCUGGCCCGCAAGGGGGACGCUGUCGAAGG